AUUGAACGCUGGCGGCAUGCUUUACACAUGCAAGUCGAACGGUAACAGGUUAAGCUGACGAGUGGCGAACGGGUGAGUAAUGCAUCGGAACGUGCCCGGUCGUGGGGGAUAACGCAGCGAAAGCUGCGCUAAUACCGCAUACGAUCUGAGGAUGAAAGCGGGGGACCGUAAGGCCUCGCGCGAUCGGAGCGGCCGAUGUCAGAUUAGGUAGUUGGUGGGGUAAAGGCUCACCAACACAACGAUCUGUAGCUGGUCUGAGAGGACGACCAGCCACACGGGGGCUGAGACACGGACCAGACUCCGACGGGAGGCAGCAGUGGGGAAUUUUGGACAAUGGGCGAAAGCCUGAUCCAUCAAUGCCGCGUGCAGGAAGAAGGCCUUCGGGUUGUAAACUGCUUUUGUACGGAGCGAAAAGGCUCUCUCUAAUACAGGGGGCUCAUGACGGUACCGUAAGAAUAAGCACCGGCUAACUACGUGCCAGCAGCCGCCGCCG
rnacentral:rRNA from 1 species